CAAUAGCGUAUAUUUAAGUUGCUGCAGUUAAAAAGCUCGUAGUUGGAUUUCGGGUGGGAAUGGCCGGUCCGCCGUUUCGGUGUGCACUUGCUACGCCCACCUUGCUGCCGGGGACGUGCUCUUGAGUUCACGCUCGGGACACGGAGUCGGCGAGGUUACUUUGAGUAAAUUAGAGUGUUCGAAGCAGGCCUACGCUCUGAAUACAUUAGCAUGGAAUAACACGAUAGGACUCUGGCCUAUCUUGUUGGUCUGUAGGACCGGAGUAAUGAUUAAGAGGGACAGUCGGGGGCAUUCGUAUUUCAUUGUCAGAGGUGAAAUUCUUGGAUUUAUGAAAGACGAACUACUGCGAAAGCAUUUGCCAAGGAUGUUUUCAUUAA
rnacentral:rRNA from 1 species